GCAAUGUCGGUCUCACAGAUUCUGGUGCCGAGGAUCUCGUCUCCGCUCUCAGUACAAACCCAUCACUGACGGGGCUGUACCUGAGUGAUAAUAAACUGGGAGAUUCAGGAGUGAAACUGGUGUCUGCGGCUCUGAGGAACCCGGAGUGUAAAAUACAGAAACUGUGGCUGGGGGAUGUCGGUCUCACAGAUUCUGGUGCCGAGGAUCUCGUCUCCGCUCUCAGUACAAACCCAUCACUGACGGGGCUGAACCUGAGAUCAAACUCUCUGACAGACCGAUCUGUCCCCGGUCUCCACCGCCUCAUACUGACCCUCCCGAGUCUGAAGCUGAUCCUGCUGUGGGGGAAUCGGUUCAGUGAGACCGGGAAGAAGGAACUGAGAUCUCUACAGGAACCCAGACCCAGACUGACAGUGACCGUGUGAACAUCUGAAUGUGGAGAAUCGGUUCAGUGAGACCGGGAUGAAGGAACUGAGAUCUCUACGGGAACCCAGACCCGGACUGAUGGUGGAUCUGUGAACAUCUGAAUGUGGUGAAUCGGUUCAGUGAGACUGGGAUGAAGGAACUGAGAUCUCUACAGGAACCCAGACCCGGACUGACAGUGGAUCUGUGAACAUCUGAAUGUGGUGAAUCGGUUCAGUGAGACCGGGAUGAAGGAACUGAGAUCUCUACGGGAACCCAGACCCGGACUGACAGUGGAUCUGUGAACAUCUGAAUGUGGGGAAUCGGUUCAGUGAGACCGGGAUGAAGGAACUGAGAUCUCUACAGGAACCCAGACCCGGACUGAGAGGGGAUCUGUGAACAUCUGAAUGUGGUGAAUCGGUUCAGUGAGACCGGGAGGAAGGAACUGAGAUCUCUACAGGAACCCAGACCCGGACUGAUGGUGGAUCUGUGAACAUCUGAAUGUGGUGAAUCGGUUCACUGAGACCGGGAUGAAGGAACUGAGAUCUCUGCAGGAACCCAGACCCGGACUGAUGGUGGAUCUGUGAACAUCUGAAUGUGGUGAAUCGGUUCAGUGAGACCGGGAUGAAGGAACUGAGAUCUCUACAGGAACCCAGACCCGGACUGAGAGUGGAUCUGUGAACAUCUGAAUGUGGAGAAUCGGUUCAGUGAGACCGGGAUGAAGGAACUGAGAUCUCUACAGGAACCCAGACCCAGACUGAGAGUGGAUCUGUGAACAUCUGAAUGUGGUGAAUCGGUUCAGUGAGACCGGGAUGAAGGAACUGAGAUCUCUACGGGAACCCAGACCCGGACUGAUGGUGGAUCUGUGAACAUCUGAAUGUGGGGAAUCGGUUCAGUGAGACCGGGAUGAAGGAACUGAGAUCUCUACAGGAACCCAGACCCGGACUGAGAGUGGAUCUGUGAACAUCUGAAUGUGGGGAAUCGGUUCAGUGAGACCGGGGAGAAGGAACUGAGAUCUCUACAGGAACCCAGACCCGGACUGAUGGUGGAUCUGUGAACAUCUGAAUGUGGUGAAUCGGUUCAGUGAGACCAGGAUGAAGGAACUGAGAUCUCUACAGGAACCCAGACCCGGACUGAGAGUGGAUCUGUGAACAUCUGAAUGUGGAGAAUCGGUUCAGUGAGACCGGGAUGAAGGAACUGAGAUCUCUACGGGAACCCAGACCCGGACUGAUGGUGGAUCUGUGAACAUCUGAAUGUGGUGAAUCGGUUCAGUGAGACCGGGAUGAAGGAACUGAGAUCUCUACGGGAACCCAGACCCGGACUGACAGUGGAUCUGUGAACAUCUGAAUGUGGGGAAUCGGUUCAGUGAGACCGGGAUGAAGGAACUGAGAUCUCUACAGGAACCCAGACCCGGACUGAGAGGGGAUCUGUGAACAUCUGAAUGUGGUGAAUCGGUUCAGUGAGACCGGGAGGAAGGAACUGAGAUCUCUACAGGAACCCAGACCCGGACUGAUGGUGGAUCUGUGAACAUCUGAAUGUGGGGAAUCGGUUCAGUGAGACCGGGAUGAAGGAACUGAGAUCUCUACAGGAACCCAGACCCGGACUGAUGGUGGAUCUGUGAACAUCUGAAUGUGGUGAAUCGGUUCAGUGAGACCGGGAGGAAGGAACUGAGAUCUCUACAGGAACCCAGACCCGGACUGAUGGUGGAUCUGUGAACAUCUGAAUGUGGUGAAUCGGUUCAGUGAGACCGGGAUGAAGGAACUGAGAUCUCUGCAGGAACCCAGACCCGGACUGAUGGUGGAUCUGUGAACAUCUGAAUGUGGGGAAUCGGUUCAGUGAGACCGGGAUGAAGGAACUGAGAUCUCUACAGGAACCCAGACCCGGACUGAUGGUGGAUCUGUGAACAUCUGAAUGUGGUGAAUCGGUUCAGUGAGACCGGGAGGAAGGAACUGAGAUCUCUACAGGAACCCAGACCCGGACUGAGAGUGGAUCUGUGAACAUCUGAAUGUGGGGAAUCGGUUCAGUGAGACCGGGAUGAAGGAACUGAGAUCUCUACAGGAACCCAGACCCGGACUGAUGGUGGAUCUGUGAACAUCCGAAUGUGCGAACAUCCCCGCCCGCGGGAUGGGGACAUUUGGCCGACUCCCCGCCCUCCCCUUUAACUCCCGCCCUUACCUUUAACGGCCGCGCGCCUGGUUCAACUUUCAACGGUUUUAACGGACCCGGCUCGGGCCUCGCGCUGUGUGCGUCGCUCGCAGCGGUCCCGCAAUGACGUGUUUCCGCCUGCUGUCCGGCGGGGCAGCUUCCGCCGGAAGUGCGUAUUGGAGACUCCCCACGUGGCACCCCGGGGAAUUACCCGGACAGGAAGAGCCCGGGGUCCAGGGCUCAGUCUGGGACACCGGUGUCCCGGGGUGGGGGGGAUGAUCCCGGGAGAGAAUCCUUUUGCCCCCUUUGCUGAGGACGGUGCAUUCGGCAGCCUGGCCGAUAUAAUGAUGUUAAAUGGACAAAUCCCUCGGCAGUGACCCUGGAUCUGCAGCGAUCCCGGACACGGCCCUGAAGUGUGAUUUUAUAAUCAUCGGUUCCCCGAUGCAGAGUGACGGAGAGAAACGGGACUGAUUAUUCAACCGGUCACUCCUUGUCUCCGGUCAGUUAAUUGUGUGUGACUGUGAGUGAGUCGGGAGCAGCUUAUUUAUUCCCGCACGUCAGCAGCUCACACAUUGUUUCAUUUACAUUUGUAAAUUUACUCACACCCGGGACCAGACACAGAGAGAAUUGUCCUCCACACCGGCCCAUCACACAGUCCCGGGGUAGACACAGAGUGAAUCUCCCUCCACACCGUCAAAUCACACACUCCCGGGGUCAGACACAGAGUGAAUCUCCCUCCACACUGUCCCAUCACACACUCCCGGGGUCAGACACAGAGUGAAUCUCCCUCCACACCGCCCCAUCACACACUCCCGGGGUCAGACACAGAGUGAAUCUCCCUCCACACCGUCCCAUCACACACUCCCGGGAUCAGACACAGAGUGAAUCUCCCUCCACACCGUCCCAUCACACACUCCCGGGGUCAGACACAGAGUGAAUCUCCCUCCGCACCGUCCCAUCGCUCACUCCCGGGGUCAGACACAGAGUGAAUCUCCCAUAACACACUCCCGGGGUCAGACACAGAGUGAAGCUCCCUCCACACCGCCCCAUCACACACUCCCGGGGUCAGACACAGAGUGAAUCUCCCUCCACACCGUCCCAUCACACACUCCCGGGGUCAGACACAGAGUGAAUCUCCCUCCACACCGUCCCAUCACACACUCCCGGGGUCAGACACAGAAUGAAUCUCCCUCCGCACCGUCCGAUCACACACUCCCGGGGUCAGACACAGAGUGAAUCUCCCUCCACACCGUCCCAUCACACACUCCCGGGACCAGACACAGAGUGAAUCUCCCUCCGCACCGUCCCAUCACACACUCCCGGGGUCGGACACAGAGUGAAUCUCCCUCCACACCGUCCGAUCACACACUCCCGGGGUCAGACACAGAGUGAAUCUCCCUCCACACCGUCCCAUCACACACUCCCGGGGUCAGACACAGAGUGAAUCUCCUUCCACACCGUCCCAUCACACACUCCGGGGGUCAGACACAGAGUGAAUCUCCCUCCACACCGUCCCAUCUCACACUCCUGGGGUCAGACACAGAGUGAAUCUCCCUCCACACUGUACCAUCACACACUCCCGGGGUCAGACACAGAGUGAAUCUCCCUGCACAACGUCCCAUCACACACUCCCGGGGUCAGACACAGAGUGAAUCUCCCUCCACACCGUCCCAUCACACACACCCGGGGUCAGACACAGAGUGAAUCUCCCUCCACACCGGCCCAUCACACACUCCCGGGGUCAGACACAGAGUGAAUCUCCCUCCGCACGGUCACAUCACACACUCCCGGGGUCAGACACAGAGUGAAUCUCCCUCCGCACCGUCCCAUCACACUCUCCCGGGGUCAGACAUAGAGUGAAUCUCCCUCCACACCGUCCCAUCACACUCUCCCGGGGUCAGACACAGAGUGAAUCUCCCUCCACACCGUCCCAUCACACACUCCUGGGGUCAGACACAGAGUGAAUCUCCCUCCACACCGUCCCAUCACACACUCCCUGGGUCAGACACAGAGUGAAUCUCCCUCCACACCGUCCCAUCACACACUCCCGGGGUCAGACACAGAGUUAAUCUCCCUCCACACCGUCCCAUCACACACUCCCGGGGUCAGAAAGAGAGUGAAUCUCCCUCCACACCGUCAAAUCACACACUCCCGGGGUCAGACACAGAGAAUUGUCCUCCGCACCGGCCCAUCACACACUCCCGGGUUCAGACACAGAGUGAAUCUCCCUCCACACCGUCCCAUCACACACUCCCGGGGACAGACACAGAGUGAAUCUCCCUCCACACUGUCAAAUCACACACUCCCGGGGUCAGACACAGAGUGAAUCUCCCUCCGCACCGUCCCAUCACACUCUCCCGGGGUCAGACACAGAGUGAAUCUCCCUCCACACCGUCCCAUCACACACUCCCGGGGACAGACACAGAGUGAAUCUCCCUCCACACCGUCCCAUCACACACUCCAGGGGUCAGACACUGAGUGAAUCUCCCUCCACACUCUCCCGGGUUCAGACACAGAGUGAAUCUCCCCCCACACCGUCCCAUCACACACUCCCGGGGUCAGACACAGUGAAUCUCCCUCCUCACCGUCCCAUCACACACUCCCGGGGUCGGACAGAGUGAAUCUCCCUCCACACCGUCCCAUCACACACUCCCGGGGUCAGACACAGAGUGAAUCUCCCUCCACACCGUCCCAUCACACACUCCCGGGGUCAGACACAGAGUGAAUCUCCCUCCACACUGUCCCAUCACACACUCCCGGGGUCAGACACAGAGUGAAUCUCACCCCGCACCGUCCCAUCACACACUCCCAGGGUCAGACACAGAGUUAAUCUCCCUCCACACCGUCCCAUCACACACUUGCAAUGCCAAACACACAGUGAAGCUCCGUCUGCACCAUUCCAUCACUCAAUGAAUUCCACCCUGCAAAGUCGCAUUUCAAGGAAGCAGGCACCAUCAAUUUGCGGGAGACUCCCGGAACUCCCGGGAGAGGUGGGAUGUCUGCAAGAGAGUAGCUCCUUAGCGGCCAGCCAGCUAGUUUAAAUAGCGUUAGCUAUGCGAAUGAACGAAUGACACCUGUUAAACUCACCUCAACAGUGAUUUAAUCCCCCAUGGGCAAUAGAAAAGUCACUGUUGCAAACAGUGCAGCGAGCCACAUUGUCAUUAUUCCUGACCCCUAUUAGGCAGGGGAACACUUCAGUGUAGUCUGGGGUGAAGUACGUUUUGUAUUUUCUUUUUUUUUAAAUACUCUGCCAUGGAGCACUCCCUCCCUCUCCCUCCCCCUCUCAAAAAAUCGAUUUGCGGGAGAUUGUAUAUAAUUCGCAGGCCUCAGGGAGCUGCUAUCAAUAUGCGGAAGACUCCCGGAACUUCCGGGAGAGGUGGGAUGUCCGACGCUUCACUUGAAAUGGCCGCUGAGGAGGGAGGGACGCGUUGAUUUAAAAUGGGCGAAUCCUUGGUGAAUGUGGCCGCCAGGGAUGGAGUGAGACACUGACUUACAAUGGCCACUGUCACGCACAGAAUCUAUGGCGAAGGAAGAUGCGGUGCCCAUGGAUACAAUCCCGGGAUCGAGUGUGUUAUUGAUUGUAAUAACAGCAUUUUAAUUUGUGUUUUA